GCAAAUGGAAGGAAAAAGGAAGAGAGACCGACCAAGGGGAAGAUAGAUGGAUGUUAUCCUUGAAGUGACUGGCUUAACCUUGAAGGAGCUGGAGGUGGCAACACAGACAGGGAGCUCUGGACUGGGCUGGUCCAUGAAGUCAUGAAGAGUUGGAAGCAACUGAAUGAAUAAACAACAACCAUUUCCCAUAUGUUUAUAAAAAGACAAGGGAAAAACUAAUCCAACCUUCGCUUAUUCAACAGUCUGGAUUAUCCAAUGCAGUCUGCCUACCGCCCAGAUCCACGGCUGUUUCUCUAGGCAGCAAGGAGUGAGCUUUCUAUGGAUUUAACUUCUGACAAUGUUGUUACUAGCUACAAGCAGGGGAGAUGCAGGGAAUGCCAUGGAUUUUUCUCAGAGGCUUAGAGAUACGGAGAGAAAAAGCAGAAAUACACCAGGGACUAGCAACUAGUAGUCCCAUACUAAUCUAGGAGCCAUCACUUUGAGAAGCACUAAACCUCUUAAAAUGGACCUUCUGGGGUAGAUAUCUAAUUCAUUAUGUGGAUGAACUGGCUUUAUGCAUUCAAAGAAAAAGGGAAUUUUAUCUAUUUCUUCUUUUUCAAACUAAUAGUUAUUCUUGUUAUUUUUUAAAAAAAAAUACAUUGAGAUAUGGUGGCUGAGCUAGCUCAUAUUAUAUAAUUAUGCUAAAUUCUACCUGCAAUCCACAGUAAUUGAGCUCAGCAGGUAAUUUUAUGAAAUGCUCAUGCACCCCUGUGACAGAAGUAACAUUUAUAAAGAAAUAAUAUCACAAAGCUAUGCCAAACACACAAUAUAAAACAAAUUCAUAUUUAUUCAUACUUUGUGUAGUCAUUUAUCUUCUUGGGAGGUAAGGAAACAGUUUUUCAUUUAGUCACCACUAGGCAUACUUUUGGAUAUAUGUUCAAAUUAAGAUGAAUUUAAUAGGCAGGGGGGCACAAACAUAAUGAUCUCCCAUUAUGACAUAUGAAAAUGCAGUAUCAUAAAACUGUUUUUGUUAAAAUAGGAGACUAUUUUCAUUAGUUCUAAUGGAAAUCUCCAUCUCUGAGAUAUACGAAAAAUGAAUUCUGAUACUAUUUAUUAAAGUAAAUGUGAAACAAA